GUUUAGAAAAUGAGAAGCGGACAACGCAAAACUAGUCAGCCCCACCACAGACUGUGUCAUCGCCAGUGAGUGAAGGUUGCCGUCGGUAGCAGGGGUAAGCAGACUGCGCUGUGCUGGAUCAGGUAUCGAGUUACAGGCGUACAUGCGCACUCACCCAGUCGGUACAGUGUUGUCUAGGGGGGAUGUACACCGUUCCAGUCUAACCCAUCGUCAGACAGGGCUUAGCUCAAUUACACUAAGGUUGGUGAAUUUUGCAACAAACUAUUGGUAUUGGUAGGUAAUUGAUUAUUUUUAAAGAUUUUUUUUUAUUGAAAGCAAUAUUGUGUUGUGACAAUUAUUGAUUGAGUUUAUGGUUUCAAAAACAUUUCCUUGCUUACUGUUAUAUUAGCGUCGUUGAUUUACAAUUUGAUAUAUUUUAAAUAAUAUAUUGUAAUGAAUAAGGCAAAAGAUGGAAAUUGUAUAAACAAAUUGGAGUUAUACUAUUUAUUACAAUU